UACGUAGGUGGCAAGCGUUGUCCGGAUUUACUGGGCGUAAAGGGCGCGUAGGCGGCACUGUUAGUCAGGCGUGAAAUUCCUGGGCUCAACCUGGGGGACUGCGCUUGAUACGGCAGAGCUUGAGGAUGGAAGAGGGUCGCGGAAUUCCCAGUGUAGAGGUGAAAUUCGUAGAUAUUGGGAAGAACACCGGUGGCGAAGGCGGCGACCUGGUCCAUUACUGACGCUGAGGCGCGACAGCGUGGGGGAGCAAACAGG
rnacentral:rRNA from 1 species